ACACGCCAGUAACUCUUUCGUAUAUAUAAAGACGCGUCAUUUGAUGAAUACAUGCAGAUUUGCAGAGAGAAAGCGAAACACUGCAAAAAUGAUUGAAAAAAUUAUGAAAAUUAUACUUGGUUUUGUUUUACUAUCGGUGGUUACACAUGGUUUAGGUAUUUAAACUUAUUCUCACUCAUUUCAAAAAUAAAUAAUCACGAUGUUAAACAUCUUUUUUUUUCUUUUCUUCCAUAUAAUUAUUUUCAAACUAAAUCAAUUUUAUGAAUCUGAUGAAUGAAUAAAUCUUUAUGAAUACGGAGAUAGAACUCCAGCAAUUUGGUUUCGACACAAUGAUACUAACAACUAUUUCUUUCACAUUGCUGCACCUAUAAAUGGAGAUAUUUCCAGACAAAUAUAUAUCAAACCACUUCCUCUCAUGUGUGGACAAAAGUUGUUGUGAGUCAGCGACGCGUUUAUAACAAGUAUGUAUUCACAAUUUAUCUAAAUGGAACGAAUGUGUUUUCCGAAAGGAAUAAAAAACCCCAAAAAUUUAACAAUGUUAAAGUUUUUGCUUCAAAUCCUUGGCAUCCAGCUCAUAAUGGAUCAAUAAAAAAUCUAAUUCUUGAAAAUGGGGAGCCAGUUAUUACUUCAUAUUUCUUUUUUCACGGGUUGUGUUUAACGCACCUAAAUUAGUUACUACAAAGGGUGAAUCUUUGGCACAAGCUGUAAUGGCAGAAAGCUAUGUGUUACUUUUUAAAGAAAUGACAUUGCAGAAAAAUAACUUGGUUGCGGCUCUGUCAAAAUUACAAAAAUCAUUUAGAAUUCUUUUCCAUUAAAAACUCAACAAUUUUUCAGAUGGGUAUAGAAGUGUUAUUCAUUUUACUAAACGAGAAGAUAAUCAAAACUACGGUGAUCGAAUUCCGGGCAUUUGGAUUUUUGAGCAAAGGUUACACAUUGCUUUUGCAAUAAGCGGUGAAAAAAACAAUUAUUUUAAUUCCGAUCCACUUCCACUAAACCAAUGGAUAGAUGUUCAUAUAGAACAAAAAGUUCGUCCAUAAAAAACUUUUUUUUUUUGUGCUUAUUAAUAACAACUUAGUAUAUGAAGUAGAAAACUUAGACGCACAAGAAUUUACAGAUAUUAACGUUUUCGCUGGAGAUCCAUGGUAUGAAGUUCAGGAUGGUUCCAUCAAGGCUUUCAUAGUUAGUAAUGGGUCUAGAGAUAAUAAAAAAAGUUUGAAAAAAGACGCCGUACGAAAAAAGACGCUUGGGUUCAAAUUUUAAUGUGUUACGAUAAAAUACUUUCUACUUUGAGUUUUUGUAUUACUUAAAAAUGUAUUUUCCACAUCUUAUUCUAUUUUAUUUUUAAAGAAAGGAAUACAUUUUUUAUUUA